rnacentral:tRNA from 1 species
CAGGACAUAGCUAAGGAAGUAAAGCACCUCUCUUACACCGAGGAGUCGUCCAUGCAAUUUGGACUGUCCUGA